UACGGGGGGGGCAAGCGUUGUUCGGAAUUACUGGGCGUAAAGGGCUUGUAGGUGGCCAACUAAGUCAGACGUGAAAUCCCUCAGCUUAACUGGGGAACUGCUUCUGAUACUGGAUGGCUUGAGUUUGGGAGAGGGAUGCGGAAUUCCAGGUGUAGCGGUGAAAUGCGUAGAUAUCUGGAGGAACACCGGUGGCGAAGGCGGCAUCCUGGACCAACACUGACACUGAAAAGCGAAAGCCAGGGAGCAAACGGG
rnacentral:rRNA from 1 species